rnacentral:rRNA from 1 species
UACGAAGGGUGCAAGCGUUACUCGGAAUCAUUGGGCGUAAAGGGCAGGUAGGUGGUUACGUAUGUCUGAGGUGAAAUCCCCGAGCUUAACUUGGGAAGUGCCUUGGAAACGGCGUAACUAGAGUAUCGGAGAGGGUCGUAGAAUUCCCGGUGUAGCGGUGAAAUGCGUAGAGAUCGGGAGGAAUACCAGAGGCGAAGGCGGCGACCUGGACGAGUACUGACACUCAACUGCGAAAGCGUGGGGAGCAAACAGG